UUUCUCAAGAACAUUGUUCAGAUAUUUACUUACAAUAGCAGGAGAAUUAAGACAACAUUUGGAAAUUGAUGCUCAUGUUGGUGGUGUUAAUGAUAUUGCCUUUGCUCAUCCUAAUAAGCAACUUUGUAUUGUCACAUGUGGUGAUGACAAGACAAUUAAGGUGUGGGAUGCUGUAGCUGGACGCAGGCAAUAUAUAUUUGAAGGCCAUGAAACUCCUGUAUAUUCUGUCUGACCC